GUCUUCGUUACGCAAAACCGCCGCCAUUUUUUUCGAGCACUGAUUGAAAGGGUAUCGUUAGAUAAUCCGUAUACGGCGUAUUUUCCUUCCUCAAAUUUUUCUUCAUAAAAAAUGGAAAUUCCAGCUGAUCAUGUGGCCUGAGGAGAGCCUGAGCAUAUGUACAUUUUGCCAAGAUGUCGUCUCUUUUUCCUGUACGAACCGGCUGUACGUUUUGUAAGAAACACUGCAGAACAAAUCAGUCUGGUAAAGUCUGAGCUUCGUCAUUGCUGCCCAAUGUACACAUGGAUUUUAUACAGCCAGCUGGAAAAGGUUGUUCCUCUUGCUACCUGUACUGCUAUGUGUUUCGUCAAAUGAAGAAACAUGAACAACUGAAGUUUAUCGUGUAUGUUCGCGAAGUUGCUGUCCACUGUGGUACGUUGUUGCAGCCUAUGCUGGUGAUAGAUCUUUCUGCAUCAAAUUCAACUGGCCGUUCCUUGGUGCUGGUGUCGUGUUACCGAAUUUGCAUUACUAUUUUAUUAAAUUGACAUUGUGUCGAUCUAGUUUACCGUUAAUAUGUUAAGAAGAAACAAAAAAGAAAUAUGGGAUGUUUAUUUCAAACAAAUGAUAAACAUUUUUUCGGUAUCGGGAAAGGAAAGUGGAGGAUGUUGAAGGGGGGGAUAUUUCAAGUUAGGAUACAAAAGUAUUUCAUUUAUAACCCUAUAAACAUAACCCUACCAGUUAAUCUCCAAACCCCACAAACAUACACCUACUAACCCUCAAAUUUGUACCCUAAACCACAUAAACCAAUAUUCAACCCUAACAAUGUGAUAUCUGUAAUAAAUAAAAAUUUUAAUACAUGAAAUUGUUUUUU